UUGCCUUAAACUAAUGAGUAAGGAAAACAAAGCGAGCGGUAGGAGCUGCUUGCGGCGCCCAGCUUUCGGGGCGCAAGAAUUUGUGGAGGUGCAAAAGGCUGGCCGAGUGCUGACGCUGCGCUUACUUUGAGCAGAACUCGUUCGAGCGGGCCUACCAA
rfam:Gossypium arboreum cultivar AKA8401 contig_2398_3, whole genome shotgun sequence.